rnacentral:rRNA from 1 species
AACGAACGCUGGCGGCAGGCUUAACACAUGCAAGUCGAACGCAUGCCUUCGGGCAUGAGUGGCAGACGGGUGAGUAACGCGUGGGAACCUACCCCUUGGUACGGGAUAGCUCCGGGAAACUGGAGAUAAUACCGUAUGUGUCCUGAGGGACAAAGAUUCAUCGCCAAGGGAUGGGCCCGCGUCGGAUUAGCUAGUUGGUGGGGUAACGGCCUACCAAGGCGACGAUCCGUAGCUGGUCUAAGAGGAUGAUCAGCCACAUUGGGACUGAGACACGGCCCAAACUCCUACGGGAGACAGCAGUGGGGAAUAUUGGACAAUGGGCGCAAGCCUGAUCCAGCCAUGCCGCGUGAGUGAUGAAGGCCCUAGGGUUGUAAAGCUCUUUCACCGGUGACGAUAAUGACGGUAACCGGAGAAGAAGCCCCGGCUAACUUCGUG